AUGCCAAGGUGAGGGAAGAUUGCGUCUAAGUGACAGUAACCUUACUGAAAGGGAAGAGCGACACAUAAAGGAGGGCGGACCGCAGGAGAACCUGUCCUUAAAGUCUCUGAUUCCAGCUCACAAGAUGACAUACCUUGAUGCUCAGUAGGGAUCCGGUUAAGAGGCAGUUUCAGCACAAUAAACCAUGAUCUUUCGCUCUCCAGAACAUGACCUCCAAGGCUAAGUGGCUCAAGGACUGCCCGCUCUAUGGGUAGCAGAUCCAGCUGUGACAGCUUUGCACAGAAAGCUUUCAUAAGGGGAUUGAGACUAGUGAUAGCAGCAACAGUUCAACAGACUGCCAUCAAGUAGCAGGCAGGAUUCCCCUAGAAAAGUGCUUUGGUUCCUUGCAGAGCACCUUAGGAACUGAACAUCUGGGCUUCCAUGCUGCUGUCGGUCCUGUUAGGAGUCGUGGGAGGGACAAACCUGCCCACCUGGCCGAGCAGCUGGUUUUUCUGGGGUACACUGAACAUCAGCAUAUUCCAAGGGGAGAUUUCCUCAAGCGUCCUGCAUUGCAGGAAUACACUGUGUCUGUGGCUUUGCUUGAGUUGGAUGAAAAUUAAAUGAUAACCAAAUCAAAAGU